rnacentral:rRNA from 1 species
GACGAAGGGGGCAAGCGUUGUUCGGAAUUACUGGGCGUAAAGGGCGCGUAGGCGGUUCUUUAAGUCAGGCGUGAAAGCCCUGGGCUCAACCUGGGAGUGGCGCUUGAUACUGGAGGACUAGAGAGUGGGAGAGGUUGGUGGAAUUCCCAGUGUAGAGGUGAAAUUCGUAGAUAUUGGGAAGAACACCGGUGGCGAAGGCGGCUUCCUGGCCAUUCACUGACGCUGAGACGCGAAAGCGUGGGGAGCAAACAGG